rnacentral:rRNA from 1 species
GGCCUUGCGCUCAUUGAGCGGCCGAUAUCAGAUUAGCUAGUUGGUGGGGUAAAAGCUCACCAAGGCGACGAUCUGUAGCGGGUCUGAGAGGAUGAUCCGCCACACUGGAACUGAGACACGGUCCAGACUCCUACGGGAGGCAGCAGUGGGGAAUUUUGGACAAUGGGGGCAACCCUGAUCCAGCCAUGCCGCGUGAGUGAAGAAGGCCUUCGGGUUGUAAAGCUCUUUCAGCCGGGAAGAAAACGCAUUGGUUAAUACCUGAUGUGGAUGACGGUACCGGAAUAAGAAGCACCGGCUAACUACGUGCCAGCAGCCGCGGUAAUACGUAGGGUGCGAGCGUUAAUCGGAAUUACUGGGCGUAAAGCGUGCGCAGGCGGUUUUGUAAGAUAGGCGUGAAAUCCCCGGGCUUAACCUGGGAACUGCGUUUAUGACUGCAAAGCUAGAGUACGGCAGAGGGGGGUGGAAUUCCACGUGUAGCAGUGAAAUGCGUAGAGAUGUGGAGGAACACCAAUGGCGAAGGCAGCCCCCUGGGUCGAUACUGACGCUCAUGCACGAAAGCGUGGGUAGCAAACAGGAUUAGAUACCCUGGUAGUCCACGCCCUAAACGAUGUCAACUAGGUGUUGGGAGGGUAAAACCUUUUAGUACCGGAGCUAACGCGUGAAGUUGACCGCCUGGGGAGUACGGCCGCAAGGUUAAAACUCAAAGGAAUUGACGGGGACCCGCACAAGCGGUGGAUGAUGUGGAUUAAUUCGAUGCAACGCGAAAAACCUUACCUACCCUUGACAUGUCAGGAACUUGCCAGAGAUGGCUUGGUGCUCGAAAGAGAACCUGAACACAGGUGCUGCAUGGCUGUCGUCAGCUCGUGUCGUGAGAUGUUGGGUUAAGUCCCGCAACGAGCGCAACCCUUGUCGUUAAUUGCCAUCAUUUAGUUGGGCACUUUAACGAGACUGCCGGUGACAAACCGGAGGAAGGUGGGGAUGACGUCAAGUCCUCAUGGCCCUUAUGGGUAGGGCUUCACACGUCAUACAAUGGUCGGUACAAAGGGUCGCCAACCCGCGAGGGGGAGCCAAUCCCAGAAAGCCGAUCGUAGUCCGGAUUGCAGGCUGCAACUCGCCUGCAUGAAGUCGGAAUCGCUAGUAAUCGUGGAUCAGCAUGUCACGGUGAAUACGUUCCCGGGUCUUGUACACACCGCCCGUCACACCAUGGGAGCGGGUUCCGCCAGAAGUAGGUAGCCUAACCGCAAGGAGGGCGCUUACCA